AGUGGCCAACACGAGGAGGUUCAGAGGCUGGACCACUGAUGCUGUGUGUAUGGGAAAUGUUCACAUGGUUGCCAUAGCAACUGACCGCAGAGACUUGCACUUUUUCAAUGUCUCUCUGACCAGUGUGUAUGAGGAUGUCCACCUAUUUGGUAAGAUAGUUUGCUAACCACCUUUUAAAAUAAGUUUCUAAUUUUCUAAUUUUAACUUGUCUCGUUAUAUGUAGGGUUUCGCAGUGUCCUGACUGCUCUUUGUUUCUGGCAUGAUGUGCAGGUAAGACCCUUGUUUAUCUGAAAUGUUGUUUCUGAUCAGAUGUUCAUUACUAGACCUCACUAUAAGUGUUCACUUCAAGUGUCCAGAGAAGCCUCCACUUCUCCUAAUGGGAGAUGAAAAAGGAGGAAUCCACUUGAUGUGGUUCCUGAACCCUUCUAAAGGUCUUUUCAAGAGUCCAUCAAAGAAAGACACCCACAACCCACAGAGGAUCUUUUUCCCUGACCUGAGUGAACACAGUGACACGGUCUCCUAUCGCCACAUCCCUAACAUCCACCAGGAACCAAUCAACAGAAUAAUGUUUGAUCCCAACACCAAUGUCAUCAUGACAUCAUCAGAAAGUGACACCACGUCUGUGGUCUUUAUGAAUGUGUCACUGAGGAGGGAGCCUCACAUUUGGAAGAUUAAACAGUUGUUGGUCACUGGUGGCUGUGACCGAACAAUCAGACUGUGGACUCGAUAUGUGACCUCAAGACCUGUAGCUACACUGCUGGGUCACCACACCACUGUACUGG
rnacentral:lncRNA from 1 species